rnacentral:rRNA from 1 species
CCCUUAGAUGUUCCGGGCUGCACGCGCGCUACACUGACGCACGCAACAGGUGCCUGCUCCGAGAGGACUGGGUAAUCAUUUGAGUGUGCGUCGUGAUGGGGAUAGAAUAUUGUAAUUAUUACUCUUCAACGAGGAAUUCCUAGUAAGCGCCAGUCAGCAGCUUGCGCUGAUUACGUCCCUGCCCUUUGUACACACCGCCCGUCGCUCCUACCGAUGGGUGAUCCGGUGAAUGAUUCGGACUUCAGCGGCUCCCCUGGGGUGCGCCGGAGAAAGUUUUGUGAACCUUAUCACUUGGAGGAAGGAGAAGUCGUAACA